rnacentral:rRNA from 1 species
AGUGAACGCUGGCGGUAGGCCUAACACAUGCAAGUCGAACGGCAGCACAGUAAGAGCUUGCUCUUACGGGUGGCGAGUGGCGGACGGGUGAGGAAUACAUCGGAAUCUACUUUUUCGUGGGGGAGAACGUAGGGAAACUUACGCUAAUACCGCAUACGACCUACGGGUGAAAGCAGGGGAUCUUCGGACCUUGCGCGAUUGAAUGAGCCGAUGUCGGAUUAGCUAGUUGGCGGGGUAAAGGCCCACCAAGGCGACGAUCCGUAGCUGGUCUGAGAGGAUGAUCAGCCACACUGUAACUGAGACACGGUCCAGACUCCUACGGGAGGCAGCAGUGGGGAAUCUUGGACGAUGGGCGCAAGCCUGAUCCAGCCAUACCGCGUGGGUAAAGAAGGCCUUCGGGUUGUAAAGCCCUUUUGUUGGGAAAGAAAAGCAGCAGGUUAAUACCCCGCUGUUCUGACGGUACCCAAAGAAUAAGCACCGGCUAACUUCGUG